rnacentral:lncRNA from 1 species
UUCAGCAUAAAAAUCAGGUUGGUGGCUUACUGACAAAACACAUUCUUCCAAGAUAUAUUGUACUCCAUUUCUUAUCAGAAGGACAUAUCUGACCAUUUUAUGUCCCAGUCCGAAAAAAAGAAACCACAUCUAAUAUCAUCUACAUAGUAAAUAUUUGCUGUCCAUAUUUUUCUUUCUUUUUAAAAGACAGGGUCUUACUAUGUCACCCAGGCUAGAGUGCAGUGGUGAUCAUAGUUCACUGUAACCUCAAACUCUUGGGCCUAAGUGAUCUUCCUGCUUCAGUCUCCCAAGUAGCUAGGACCACAGGUACACACCACCAUGCCCAGCUAAUUUUUUUUUUUUUUUUUUUUUUUUUUUUUUUUUUUUUGGGUAGAGAUGAGAUCUCAGUGUUGCCCAGACUGGUUUCAAACUUCAGGCCUCAAGCGAGGAUCGCGCCUUGGCCUCCCAUAAUGUUGGGAUUACAGGUGUCAGCCACCAUGCUGGGCUUUCAUAUCUUUCUUUUUCUUCUCAAAAGUAGCAUAAGGGGCAGAAAAAAAAUCAGUGGUAUGGGAUAUAUUAUCAGGUGCUCAGUUAUGGGUCUAUACCAGUCAUCAGGGAGUCACUAACUACCAGAAAGUAUCUCCUCUUAGAGAUACUAAGAUUCUUCCCAUUUACUAUGUUUUCCUUAACUUUCUUCAUAUCUAACUUUACCUUUCUGAGGUAAAGGCUCAUGGAUG